rnacentral:rRNA from 1 species
CCACGUUCGGAUUGAAGGCUGAAAUUCGCCUUCAUGAAGCCGGAAUUGCUAGUAAUGGCAGGUCAGCAUACUGCCGUGAAUACGUUCCCGGGCCUUGUACACACCGCCCGUCACACCAUGAGAGUUGGGAAUACCCGAAGCCUGUGAGCCAACUGUAAAGAGGCAGCAGUCGAAGGUAGAAUCAAUGAUUGGGGUGAAGUCGUAACAAGGUACC